UACGGAGGGUGCAAGCGUUAUCCGGAUUCCCUGGGUUUAAAGGGUGCGUAGGCGGGUUGGUAAGUCCGUGGUGAAAUCUCCGAGCUUAACUCGGAAACUGCCGUGGAUACUAUCAAUCUUGAAUAUCGUGGAGGUAAGCGGAAUAUGUCAUGUAGCGGUGAAAUGCUUAGAUAUGACAUAGAACACCAAUUGCGUAGGCAGCUUACUACACGAUCAUUGACGCUGAGGCACGAAAGCGUGGGGAGCAAACAGG
rnacentral:rRNA from 1 species